UACGGGGGGAGCAAGCGUUGUUCGGAUUUACUGGGCGUAAAGGGCGCGUAGGCGGCCAGCACACGUCAGUUGUGAAAUCUCCGAGCUUAACUCGGAACGGUCAACUGAUACUGUGCGGCUAGAGUGCGGAAGGGGCAACUGGAAUUCUUGGUGUAGCGGUGAAAUGCGUAGAUAUCAGGAGGAACACCUGCGGUGUAGACGGCUUACUGGACCAUAACUGACGCUGAGGCACGAAAGCGUGGGUAGCAAACAGG
rnacentral:rRNA from 1 species